rnacentral:rRNA from 1 species
GGGCCCGCACAAGCGGUGGAGCAUGUGGUUUAAUUCGAUGAUACGCGAGGAACCUUACCAGGGCUUAAAUGUAGUGGGACAGGUCUAGAGAUAGACCCUUCUUCGGACUCAUUACAAGGUGCUGCAUGGUUGUCGUCAGCUCGUGCCGUGAGGUGUCAGGUUAAGUCCUAUAACGAGCGCAACCCCUAUCGUUAGUUGCCAGCGAGUAAUGUCGGGAACUCUAACGAAACUGCCGGUGCAAACCGUGAGGAAGGUGGGGAUGACGUCAAAUCAUCACGGCCCUUACGUCCUGGCUACACACGUGCUGACAAUGGUCGGUACAGACGAGCAGCCACUACAGCGAGUAGGAGCA